rnacentral:lncRNA from 1 species
AACAUUGCCGUGAAUAAAAAUAUUAAAUGAUAAAUAUUUGGUACAGUUAACACAUUAAUAUACAUACGUGCAUAAAUGAAUGUAUAUACAAAUUUCACUAGAAGAUCAUAUCCAUAGUGGCAUCACUCGUUAGCCUGAUAGAUAUCAAUACAAGGACUCACACAUAUUUGAAAAAACAACUUGUAUCUAAGUUGUACUUCUGAGCAGCUUUGGUUGGGCUGAUUUGCCAAGCUACCUUUCGAAACUUCUUGAUUCCGAAGUUAUAUUUCCCUCGGGCAUUCCAUGACAGCAACAUUCCAAAGACUCGNUUGAUUCCGAAGUUAUAUUUUCCUUGGGCAUUCCAUAACAGCAACAUUCCAAAGACUCGAAGACAGAAAAAAUUGCAGACCUUGCAACUGGGAAUCACGGCCUUUAUUAUCUCCGCUGCUGUUAUCGGCCUCUUGAAUUCUUUUUAC